GUACUACUCCCUCCGUCCUAAAAUAAGUGACUCAACUUUGUACUAACUUUGUGUGUAUAAAAGUUAGUACAAAGUUGAGUCACUUAUUUUAGGACGGAGGGAGUACUAU
rnacentral:pre_miRNA from 1 species